rnacentral:misc_RNA from 1 species
GAUGAAGAACGUAGCGAAAUGCGAUAAGUAAUGUGAAUUGCAGAAUUCAGUGAAUCAUCGAAUCUUUGAACGCACAUUGCGCCCCCUGGUAUUCCGGGGGGCAUGCCUGUCCGAGCGUCAUUACAACCCUCAAGCUCAGCUUGGUGUUGGGCCCCGCCGCCCCGGCGGGCCCUAAAGUCAGUGGCGGUGCCGUCCUGCUCCGAGCGUAGUAAUUCUUCUCGCUCUGGAGGUCCGGUCGUGUGCUCGCCAGCAACCCCCAAUUUUUUUCAGGUUGACCUCGGAUCAGGUAGGGAUACCCGCUGAACUUAAGCAUAUCAAUAAGCGGAGGA